AUGCGUUGUUGGGUAGGGGAGCGUUCUGUAAGCCUGUGAAGGUGUGCUGUGAGGCAUGCUGGAGGUAUCAGAAGUGCGAAUGCUGACAUAAGUAACGAUAAAGCGGGUGAAAAGCCCGCUCGCCGGAAGACCAAGGGUUCCUGUCCAACGUUAAUCGGGGCAGGGUGAGUCGACCCCUAAGGCGAGGCCGAAAGGCGUAGUCGAUGGGAAACAGGUUAAUAUUCCUGUACUUGGUGUUACUGCGAAGGGGGGACGGAGAAGGCUAUGUUGGCCGGGCGACGGUUGUCCCGGUUUAAGCGUGUAGGCUGGUUUUCCAGGCAAAUCCGGAAAAUCAAGGCUGAGGCGUGAUGACGAGGCACUACGGUGCUGAAGCAACAAAUGCCCUGCUUCCAGGAAAAGCCUCUAAGCAUCAGGUAACAUCAAAUCGUACCCCAAACCGACACAGGUGGUCAGGUAGAGAAUACCAAGGCGCUUGAGAGAACUCGGGUGAAGGAACUAGGCAAAAUGGUGCCGUAACUUCGGGAGAAGGCACGCUGAUAUGUAGGUGAAGUCCCUCGCGGAUGGAGCUGAAAUCAGUCGAAGAUACCAGCUGGCUGCAACUGUUUAUUAAAAACACAGCACUGUGCAAACACGAAAGUGGACGUAUACGGUGUGACGCCUGCCCGGUGCCGGAAGGUUAAUUG
rnacentral:rRNA from 1 species